CUGGGGAUAAGCUUGGUGCUAUCUCUUCUUCUUAGUUUUCUUCUUUCUUUUGUAUUAGUGUUGAUUCUAGUGAAGAGAAUCGAUUUAAUGAAUUAAUGUUUGAUUUACAAAGUUAUUUAUGGAUCACUAUUUAUCAAUUAUUGUGAAAGAUUGAGGAUGUAUAGAAGUUUUCAGUCACUGUUUAUUGCAAGGUUGUAAGUUUAGUGGAGAAGAAUUGUAAUUGAAGGAAUUUUCUUGAUUAGAUUUUGUGAAUUAGAAGUUGUUCGUUCAAGGGUUUGGAAUAUGCUUGUGUAUUCGUGAAUUACAUAGGGUACUGAAAUCGUUGUCGUGGAUGUUAUUGUAUUGAUAUGAGAGAGUGAACAGUAGGAGGAAAAGUUAAGUGUUCUUCGGUAUGGUAAGCAUUCAGCAAUAGCGGUGAAUUGCGUGACCCUAACAAUUGGAGCUCAUAUACAUGGUCAUUCCCAGUGUUCGAAUCCCCCUAUAUGGGUUUAUUCUGGGAGGUUUCUUUCGGAAUAAGUAAAACAAGCAAUCACAAUGUCUCAAUUCAAUCUUAAUUUAAUUCUAGUUAAAAUUCUAUUGGACUUUAUUCAAAAUUUAGGCCAAAAAUAAUUAAAUCUUAAAUCCUAAUAAAAUCCUAAAUCCUAAAUCAAACCUUAAAUUCUAAAACAAAUCCUAAACAAACCUUAAAUCAAAUCCUAAAUCCUAAAUCAAAUCCUAACCAAAUCCUAAAUCAAAUCCUAAAUCCUAAAUCAAAUCCUAACAAAACUCUAGAUCAAACCCUAAAUCUUAAAUCAAAUCUUAAUCAAAUCCUAACCCUAAAUCUAAACCAAAUCCUAAAUCCAAAAUCAAACUCUAAUCAAACCUUAACCCUAAAACAAAUCCUAAUCAAAUUCUAAACUCUAAACCAAUCCCUAACCAAAUCGUAGUAAUUCCUACAACAGAUUUAAAUCUCAAUAACUAAUGAAUAAACCGUUGAUCUUAAAUCAAAUUUUGCAUACUUUUUAAAAACUAAGUUGAAAACAAUCACAAAGAUUUUGAAAAGGAUCGGAAUUACCAAAUACACGAUAACUUCAAAAACAUGCUCGGGUAUUGAUCAACCUCCUUCUCCAACCUUGAUGUUAAUCUUCUAGAGCCAAUAUCUCUCUUUGACACCAUUCGAUUGAUCUCAAAAUUGUCAUAUAGAUAGAAAAACAAGUCUAAUAUUCUCUCAUAAAAAUUUCAUUUUAAUACAACAAGUAGAUUGUAAGAAAUCUUAAAAACCCUCACUAGACCUAAAAUUCUACUUUCUAAGACCUUGACCCACUUAAACCUCAAUAAUCCUCAAUUCAACCGUUAGAUCGAGUUCAAAUUUAUAAUACAUAUUGAACACAAUUAUAACCAUAAAUCUACAAAAUUUUACUUAUAGAUCUAUUACAAAACUCUUGAAAUCAUCCAAAAUAUAAAUCCUAUUUUAUUUCAUAAAAUCCAAGUCAUCCAAAAUAAACCUUUACUUUGCAAAGCUCUUACAAGGUCAAUACAGA
rnacentral:lncRNA from 1 species